UGCUGCCGGCGACCGGCGCACGGGUGCGGAACGCGUAUGGAACCUGCCCCUGUCAGGGGAAUAGCCCAGGGAAACUUGGAUUAAUGCCCCAUGGUACCGUUACAUCGCAUGAUGUUUCGGUUAAAGAUUUAUCGGACAGGGAUGGCCAUGCGUACCAUUAGUUAGUUGGCGGGGUAACGGCCCACCAAGGCAGCGAUGGUUAGGGGCCCUGAGAGGGGGAUCCCCCACACUGGUACUGAGACACGGACCAGACUCCUACGGGAGGCAGCAGUGAGGAAUAUUGGACAAUGGGCGGGAGCCUGAUCCAGCCAUGCCGCGUGCAGGAUGACUGCCCUAUGGGUUGUAAACUGCUUUUAUACGGGAAGAAACGCACCUACGUGUAGGUGUCUGACGGUACCGUAAGAAUAAGGACCGGCUAACUCCGUGCCAGCAGCCGCGGUAAUACGGAGGGUCCGAGCGUUAUCCGGAAUCAUUGGGUUUAAAGGGUCCGUAGGCGGGCCUGUAAGUCAGGGGUGAAAGUUUGUGGCUCAACCAUAAAAUUGCCUUUGAUACUGCAGGUCUUGAGUCAUGGUGGGGUUGCCGGAACAUGUGGUGUAGCGGUGAAAUGCAUAGAUAUCACAUAGAACACCGAUCGCGAAGGCAGGUGACCAACCAUGUACUGACGCUGAUGGACGAAAGCGGGGAGCA
rnacentral:rRNA from 1 species